CACGAACUGUGCAAACGUUAUUCGGAAUUACUGGGCUUAAAGAGUUCGUAGGCGGUCUGUUAAGUCGGGUGUGAAAUCCCCCGUCUCAACCGGGGAAUUGCGCCCGAAACUGGCAGGCUUGAGUGAGAUAGAGGUGAGCGGAACUGAUGGUGGAGCGGUGAAAUGCGUUGAUAUCAUCAGGAACACCGGUUGCGAAGGCGGCUCACUGGGUCUCUACUGACGCUGAGGAACGAAAGCUAGGGGAGCGAACGGG
rnacentral:rRNA from 1 species